CGGGAAAUAGCUCAGCUUGGUAGAGCACUUGCUUCGGGAGUAAGGGGUCGCAGGUUCAAAUCCUGUUUUCCCGA
rnacentral:tRNA from 7 species